GCCGGGUGUGGUGGCUCACGCCUGUAAUCCCAACACUUUGGGAGGCCAAGGUGGGCAGAUCACCUGAGGUCAGGAGUUCAAAAUUAGCCUGGCCAACAUGGUGGAUCCCCAUCUUUA
ensembl:misc_RNA Metazoa_SRP Metazoan signal recognition particle RNA